UCAUGGCUCAGGACGAACGCUGGCGGCGUGCCUAAUACAUGCAAGUCGAGCGGACAGAUGGGAGCUUGCUCCCUGAUGUUAGCGGCGGACGGGUGAGUAACACGUGGGUAACCUGCCUGUAAGACUGGGAUAACUCCGGGAAACCGGGGCUAAUACCGGAUGGUUGUUUGAACCGCAUGGUUCAGACAUAAAAGGUGGCUUCGGCUACCACUUACAGAUGGACCCGCGGCGCAUUAGCUAGUUGGUGAGGUAACGGCUCACCAAGGCAACGAUGCGUAGCCGACCUGAGAGGGUGAUCGGCCACACUGGGACUGAGACACGGCCCAGACUCCUACGGGAGGCAGCAGUAGGGAAUCUUCCGCAAUGGACGAAAGUCUGACGGAGCAACGCCGCGUGAGUGAUGAAGGUUUUCGGAUCGUAAAGCUCUGUUGUUAGGGAAGAACAAGUGCCGUUCAAAUAGGGCGGCACCUUGACGGUACCUAACCAGAAAGCCACGGCUAACUACGUGCCAGCAGCCGCGGUAAUACGUAGGUGGCAAGCGUUGUCCGGAAUUAUUGGGCGUAAAGGGCUCGCAGGCGGUUUCUUAAGUCUGAUGUGAAAGCCCCCGGCUCAACCGGGGAGGGUCAUUGGAAACUGGGGAACUUGAGUGCAGAAGAGGAGAGUGGAAUUCCACGUGUAGCGGUGAAAUGCGUAGAGAUGUGGAGGAACACCAGUGGCGAAGGCGACUCUCUGGUCUGUAACUGACGCUGAGGAGCGAAAGCGUGGGGAGCGAACAGGAUUAGAUACCCUGGUAGUCCACGCCGUAAACGAUGAGUGCUAAGUGUUAGGGGGUUUCCGCCCCUUAGUGCUGCAGCUAACGCAUUAAGCACUCCGCCUGGGGAGUACGGUCGCAAGACUGAAACUCAAAGGAAUUGACGGGGGCCCGCACAAGCGGUGGAGCAUGUGGUUUAAUUCGAAGCAACGCGAAGAACCUUACCAGGUCUUGACAUCCUCUGACAAUCCUAGAGAUAGGACGUCCCCUUCGGGGGCAGAGUGACAGGUGGUGCAUGGUUGUCGUCAGCUCGUGUCGUGAGAUGUUGGGUUAAGUCCCGCAACGAGCGCAACCCUUGAUCUUAGUUGCCAGCAUUCAGUUGGGCACUCUAAGGUGACUGCCGGUGACAAACCGGAGGAAGGUGGGGAUGACGUCAAAUCAUCAUGCCCCUUAUGACCUGGGCUACACACGUGCUACAAUGGACAGAACAAANGGCAGCCAAACCGCGAGGUUAAAGCAAUCCCACAAAUCUGUUCUCAGUUCGGAUCGCAGUCUGCCACUCGACUGCGUGAAGCUGGAAUCGCUAGUAAUCGCGGAUCAACAUGCCGCGGUGAAUACGUUCCCGGGCCCUGUACAC
rnacentral:rRNA from 1 species